UGUCCAAUCCUUUGAGAAAAAAUUUGAGAGCCAAUUUGUCGAUAAAAUAUGCAUAUACAUCAUGACAUUAAGGGAUCGGAGAGUGAU